UUCAGAGGCUCCAAUCUGGUUUACCCUUUCGAGCAAUUUCAUGCCCAAAGCUUCACAUCUUCAAAUUUUCUCCAAAAUUGAUCAAGUUUCCUCCAUAAAUCUUCAAUUAUUCCUUUAAAGAUUAUUUCACAACACAUUUUUUUGAAAAUUUUUAAAUCAAAGCUCUUUAGAUUCAGACCAUUUUCCACCUAUGCUGCAACGGCGCAUGUGUUGCUCUGGUCUCCAACUCCUCAUACCGUUGAUGCAUCCUAACCUCCGCCCUCCCCAAAUUUCAGUUAUUGAUUCAAUUUCUUGGUUCUUUGAGUUUUUGAAAUUAAUUAAUUAAUUUUUUGGCUUAUUGGCUCCUACAUAUGUGAUUUGUUUUAACUACAUGUUUGUUCUUUUAACUGUAUGCUUAUUAGCUAUUUUAACUAUAUAUGAAAUCAAACUAACUAUAUGUUUGUUCUUUUUCUUAGUUAGUUACCACUUACAUGUAUUACCUUAUUGUUUCUUUUUCAUAGAUUAGCUUUGUCUAUUGUUUUUUUUUUUUUUUAUCUUUUUACAGAUAUGGAUCAAAUUCUAGAAGAAAUCGGUGAUGCAAAUCCAAUAGAGGAUAACCCUGAAGAUAUGAAAACGGAUGGGAAAGGCAAGAAAGGAAACAAAAGGUUUGAGGUGUGGGAUCAUUUUAAAAUCUGCAGGGAUGAGAAGCCAGAAUGUAAUUAUUGUGGACAAACAUACAAGUAUCAUGCAAAAACAGCGAACUAGUACAUUAUGAAAUCAUCUCAUGUAGUUGUGCAAGAGGUACCCGUAUGAGGUUCAAGACAAAAAAGCAAAAGAGAAUAACUGACUAUAGUAUGUAUAAAAUUGAUGAGCUUUCUAAGGGUAUUGGUAGCUGUGAAGAACAUGUCAAAUUUGUUCAGAUAGAUGUUGGAGAAUAGAUUACAAGGUUCUUCUUAUAGUUCGAGUAAAUUUUUUUUCAACAUGUGGAAGAUGAAGAUUUUCAGUGUUAUAUGAGAUUUUUUUUGCCCAAAAUUUGUAUUUUUCUUUAAGGAUGAUGGUUCAACAUCGAGUUUGUUUGACUACUGAUUGUUGGACAUCGAUAUAGAAUAUUAUUUAUUUCUGUUUAACUGCUCCUUGGAUUGAUAAUGAUUGGAG
rnacentral:lncRNA from 1 species